rnacentral:rRNA from 1 species
UACGUAGGUGGCGAGCGUUAUCCGGAUUCACUGGGUUUAAAGGGUGCGUAGGUGGUCAGUUAAGUCAGUGGUGAAAUCUCCGGGCUCAACCCGGAAACUGCCAUUGAUACUAUCUGUCUUGAAUAUCGUGGAGGUAAGCGGAAUAUGUCAUGUAGCGGUGAAAUGCUUAGAUAUGACAUAGAACACCAAUUGCGAAGGCAGCUUACUACCCGAAUAUUGACACUGAGGCACGAAAGCGUGGGGAUCAAACAGG